AUUGAACGCUAGCGGCAGGCCUAACACAUGCAAGUCGAACGAGUGGCGGACGGGUGAGUAAUAUCUGGGAACCUGCCCAGUGGAGGGGGAUAACUACUGGAAACGGUAGCUAAUACCGCAUACCAUCGGAUGUGCCCAUAUGGGAUUAGCUAGUAGGUGGGGUAAAGGCUCACCUAGGCGACGAUCCCUAGCUGGUCUGAGAGGAUGACCAGCCACACUGGAACUGAGACACGGCCCAGACUCCUACGGGAGGCAGCAGUGGGGAAUAUUGCACAAUGGGCGCAAGCCUGAUGCAGCCAUGCCGCGUGUAUGAAGAAGGCCUUCGGGUUGUAAAGUACUUUCAGCGAGGAGGCGUUACCCGCAGAAGAAGCACCGGCUAACUCCGUGCCAGCAGCCGCGGUAAUUC
rnacentral:rRNA from 1 species